rfam:Myotis davidii contig105818, whole genome shotgun sequence.
GGUGGUUCUCAGGUUACGCACCCCGGAAUCGAGCUCCCUCCUCUUUAGUUCUGGGAUACGUCAUCCAAGAACUGUA